GCUUCCAAGUGGGCUCCUCUCGCCCCAGGCCCUGGCCCCUGACGUUUCAGUAGCUGUAAGCCAGGCUCUGCUGCUGCCUUUUCACUGGCCUCAACACUGCCCAGUGCCACUGGGAGCUUUGUGCUGGGGGAGGAUAAAUGCACUGGACUGCCCUUAGCCCCGUGUUUGAGAAGCCUUGACAGGUUUGCUCCCAUCACAGCCAGUUGGAUGUGGCUCCUCAGGCCUGAGUCCUGCAGAGGCAGAGGGACAUGCCUGGGAUUGCAUGGGCAGCUGGCAGCAGAGCAGGGAAUCACUGCUGACCCCGGGCAAACGUUCUGAGCAAUGCCCUGUCCUCCCCUAGUACAGGAGUGGGGCUGGAAACAGAGCAAACAGGCUCACACUCAUCCGCUAAACCCUCAGUGAUGAAACAAGAGUCCAUGGCAGAGAAGCAACCAGCUGCAUAGUGAAAACACACCAUUAUUCCUGAACCCCAGUAUAUAAAAAAUACAUCGUUUUAGUACUGGCUGUCUUGGGGGAAGGAAGCUUGAAACACCAAAAGCUCCCUGUUACAUUUGGAUUAAGAUUUGUAUCAUCUGUCCCAUUUGGAGUAGCAAAGACAAUUGAACUGCAGAAAUAGAGUCAAAAAACCCCCAAGUUCUUCUGCACCACAAAUGAACUAAGCAGAAAGUGAUCCAAAGCAAGAAGUUGCACAAGCUGUGGGUAAAACAAAUGCCACAGGUUUUCUGGCUCCUGGUUUGUCCUGAGGUCUGAUGGAACCUGGAUGAGAUUUUUCCAGGUUUCUGCCCUGUUUGGAUUCUCAGGUGCAACCUACAGAGCAACCAGCCCAGCAGCUGGGGAAUCCUGAGAUUUGUCCCCCUUGAAGCCUUGGCAGCUCCUCAUGCCUUCCAGCACUCUGUGGGGAUGAUAUGGGGCAUCCAGACCAUCACAAAAAUAUCAGUGAUCUGGCCCUUUCUGCUGGAGGACAUUGAUUCUUGGCUUCUUUCACUGGAGUUUCCAUUGAGAGACAUCAACAAGAUUUCUGGAAAAGGAAGAGUUUCUUCAUUAUUAACAUAGAUGUUAAAACAUGGACUGGAAAGUGGAGUGUGGACUGAGACAGAAAGUUAGGAGAAAAGCUUCAACUAAUCCUCACAUUAAUCACACCUAAAGAUAUCCCUCAGUGAUCCUGACAUACACCUGAAACAAGUUUUUAGAUAUAGAUGGAAUUGCUGUUCUGCAUAUGUCAGUCUUUUCAGUCUAAAGUGCCUUUUUUUUUUUUUUUUUU